UACGGGGGGAGCAAGCGUUGUUCGGAUUUACUGGGCGUAAAGGGCGCGUAGGCGGCGUGACAAGUCACUUGUGAAAUCCCCAGGCUUAACCUGGGAACUGCGUCGGAUACUGGUUGGCUUGAAUCCGGGAGAGGGAUGCGGAAUUCCAGGUGUAGCGGUGAAAUGCGUAGAUAUCUGGAGGAACACCGGUGGCGAAGGCGGCAUCCUGGACCGGCAUUGACGCUGAACAGCGAAAGCCAGGGGAGCAAAGCGGG
rnacentral:rRNA from 1 species